rnacentral:tRNA from 1 species
CCGCCAUUAGCUCAUCGGGAAGAGCAGGCAGCAUUGCUGUUGUUAUUGUGCGAGAUUCGAGGCCCCGAUGGCGGUCCA